rnacentral:rRNA from 1 species
CCUACGGGAGGCAGCAGUGGGGAAUAUUGGACAAUGGGCGAAAGCCUGAUCCAGCAAUGCCGCGUGUGUGAAGAAGGCCUGCGGGUUGUAAAGCACUUUCAGUUGGGAGGAAGCAUUUUAGGUUAAGAGCUAAAGAUGUUGACGUUACCUACAGAAGAAGCACCGGCUAACUCUGUGCCAGCAGCCGCGGUAAUACAGAGGGUGCGAGCGUUAAUCGGAAUAACUGGGCGUAAAGGGUGCGUAGGCGGAACACUAAGUCAGAUGUGAAAGCCCCGGGCUUAACCUGGGAAUUGCAUUUGAAACUGGUGAUCUAGAGCAGAGAAGAGGAGAGUAGAAUUUCAGGUGUAGCAGUGAAAUGCGUAGAUAUCUGAAGGAAUACCGGUGGCGAAGGCGGCUCUCUGGUCUCAUGCUGACGCUGAGGCACGACAGCGUGGGGAGCAAACAGGAUUAGAUACCCCGGUAGUC